rnacentral:misc_RNA from 1 species
GAUGAAGAACGUAGCGAAAUGCGAUAAGUAAUGUGAAUUGCAGAAUUCAGUGAAUCAUCGAAUCUUUGAACGCACAUUGCGCCCGCCAGUAUUCUGGCGGGCAUGCCUGUUCGAGGGUCAUUUCAACCCUCAGGCCCCCAGUGCCUGGUGUUGGGGAUCGGCCCAGCCUUCCUGUAAGGCCGCCGGCCCCGAAAUCUAGUGGCGGUCUCGCUGUAGUCCUCCUCUGCGUAGUAGCACAACCUCGCAGUUGGAACGCGGCGGUGGCCAUGCCGUUAAACACCCCACUUCUGAAAGUUGACCUCGGAUCAGGUAGGAAUACCCGCUGAACUUAAGCAUAUCAAUAAGCGGAGGA